AUUGAACGCUGGCGGCAUGCCUUACACAUGCAAGUCGAACGGCAGCGCGGGGCAACCUGGCGGCGAGCGGCGGACGGGUGAGGAAUGCAUCGGAAUCUACCCUGUCGUGGGGGAUAACGUAGGGAAACUUACGCUAAUACCGCAUACGAACUAUGGUUGAAAGCGGCGGACCGCAAGGCGUCGCGCGAUUGGAUGAGCCGAUGUCCGAUUAGCUAGUUGGCGGGGUAAAGGCCCACCAAGGCGACGAUCGGUAGCUGGUCUGAGAGGAUGAUCAGCCACACUGGAACUGAGACACGGUCCAGACUCCUACGGGAGGCAGCAGUGGGGAAUAUUGGACAAUGGGCGCAAGCCUGAUCCAGCCAUGCCGCGUGUGUGAAGAAGG
rnacentral:rRNA from 1 species